UACGGAGGGGGCAAGCGUUACUCGGAAUUAUUGGGCGUAAAGGGCGCGUAGGCGGUCGUGUGCGUCGGAGGUGAAAUCCCCGGGCUUAACCCGGGAGCUGCCUCCGAUACGGCACGGCUUGAGUCCGGGAGAGGGGAGCAGAAUUCCCAGUGUAGCGGUGAAAUGCGUAGAUAUCUGCAGGAACACCCGUGGCGAAAGCGGCGCGCUGGACCACAACUGACGCUGAGGAACGAAAGCUAGGGGAGCAAACAGG
rnacentral:rRNA from 1 species